GACGAACGCUGGCGGCGUGCUUAACACAUGCAAGUCGAGCGGUAAGGCCCUUUCGGGGGUACACGAGCGGCGAACGGGUGAGUAACACGUGGGUGACCUGCCCUUAGCUCUGGGAUAAGCCUGGGAAACUGGGUCUAAUACCGGAUAUGACUCCAUAACGCAUGUUGCGGGGUGGAAAGCCUUGUGCGGCUAGGGAUGGGCCCGCGGCCUAUCAGCUUGUUGGUGGGGUGAUGGCCACCAAGGCGACGACGGUAGCCGGCCUGAGAGGGCGACCGGCCACACUGGGACUGAGACACGGCCCAGACUCCUACGGGAGGCAGCAGUGGGGAAUCUUGCGCAAUGGGCGAAAGCCUGACGCAGCGACGCCGCGUGGGGA
rnacentral:rRNA from 1 species